GUAACACUGACUGGAGGACGAACCGACUACCUUUGAAAAGUUAGCGGAUGACCUGUGGAUCGGAGUGAAAGGCUAAUCAAGCUCGGAGAUAGCUGGUUCUCCUCGAAAGCUAUUUAGGUAGCGCCUCAUGUAUCACUGUAGGGGGUAGAGCACUGUUUCGGCUAGGGGGUCAUCCCGACUUACCAAACCGAUGCAAACUCCGAAUACCAAUGAGUACUAUCCGGGAGACAGACUGCGGGUGCUAACGUCCGUAGUCAAGAGGAAAACAAUCCAGACCGCCAGCUAAGGCCCCAAAAUUAUAGUUAAGUGGGAAACGAUGUGGGAAGGCUUAGACAGCUAGGAGGUUGGCUUAGAAGCAGCCACCCUUUAAAGAAAGCGUAAUAGCUCACUAGUCGAGUCGGCCUGCGCGGAAGAUGUAACGGGGCUCAAACCAUACACCGAAGCUACGGGUAUCACCUUCGGGUGAUGCGGUAGAGGAGCGUUCUGUAAGCCUGUGAAGGUGAGUUGAGAAGCUUGCUGGAGGUAUCAGAAGUGCGAAUGCUGACAUGAGUAACGACAAUGCGAGUGAAAAACUCGCACGCUGAAAGACCAAGGGUUCCAGUCCAACGUUAAUCGGGGCUGGGUGAGUCGACCCCUAAGGCGAGGCCGAAAGGCGUAGUCGAUGGGAACCAGGUUAAUAUUCCUGGGCCAGGAG
rnacentral:rRNA from 1 species